ensembl:lncRNA
GAGAAAGACAGGAAGAAGGUUAGUGGAGAGAAAGAUAUUGUGAAAUGAAGAGAUAGGGAGUAGAGGUAGACAGAGGCGAGGCGAGGGGAGAAAAAAAAGUGUGUCAAGACAUUGUACAAACCAGUAAUGGAUGGAGAAGUUCACGUGGAGACGGAGAUGGAGUACGUCACUGUUCGGGCGCAUCCUCUCCGGAGAAGCUGGAGGCUGGCGGUGGUCCUGUCUGUUCAGAACGCGCUCGUGGCAGUUUGUUUGGCUGUAAGCUUCUAUUGCUUCUGGC